CUCCCCUCCCACGCGCCUCCUCCUCCCGCACCCGCGCCUCCUUCUCCUCCCGCGCGCCUCCUCUCCUCCCGCCCACAUCGCCGCCGCCGCCGCCGCCGCCACCCACCGCCUCCCGUCGGCAUCCAUCCACUGCUCCGGCGCCAUCCAGAUGCACCGCAACAGAGCCUCCCAGCCCUGGGGCAAGAAUAGAGAUGGCAGCGAUGGCCGGAUCCGAAGACGGCGGGGCGGCGACCACUCCCGUGAGACUCGGCGGCAAGCAGCGCGCACCGAGGGGUCGAAGGGCGCUCCGGAUCCAGAUCCGGGCGCGGUGGCGGCCAUGGCCGAGCUUGAGCCGGGGCGCGGUGGCGGCCAUGGCCGAGCUUGAGCCGGAGUGCGAGGAGGACGGCGCUGACGUCAAGAUCGCGCACAUCGAGCCCGAGAUCCUGCGCCUCUCCUCCAGUUUCCUCCACCUCCGCGUCUUCCGGGGCCAUGACGCGCAGCCAACUGGGACAGGGCCACGGGCGAGGGGGGGGAGGCCUCGCACCCCUCGAUCUGGACGGGGCCGUGGCCUGCCUCCACCACCGCCAGCCCGCCGCCGCGGCGCGCCUUGCCGGCCGACGCCUCCGCUGCCCCGCCGCUAAUACAGGAGCCGACGCCUCCCUGGAGCAGCCGCUCCCGCCUAGCAACGCCGCCGCCCGAAGCUGCGCCGACGACCCGUCCAGAGGCAGAUGAUUGAUCAACAGACCUACCUAUGAAGGUAGAGUGGAAGAACUGGAAAUAAAGAUGCAGGGGAAGGACAAUGAUGCUGCAACAUCACUUGUUUCAUGGCAUAAAGAGAUAGAGGCACUUGAAUCUGAGCUCUCAGAGACCAAAGUUCUUGCACAGCAGAAAUCAUUUGAGCUUUUACUCUUAUAGCCAAGUUUCAAGAUGCGCAGGCAACUACAUGUGAUGCAGAAUCUAUAGUCAAGGCACUGGUGGAAGGGAGUCAAAAUGCAAAACUCCAAGUAGAGAACUACAAACAAAAGGAAACUUCAAGUGGAUUACAGGAGUGUGCUUUGGCUGGAUCCUACUAGGGAUGAAAUGUUUUUCUCAUUUGCACUGCUCAUAUAUCAAAUUGUUUAUACUGCAAGUAUUUCUGUUUAUUGUUCUCAUGUUGCCAACUCCAUGUAUUUCUAGGUUAUUACAUGUCUUUUUUGGUAAUAUAUACUGCAAGUUCAUACAUACUGCAAGGUCAUACGCAUUUCAAAUCCAUAUAUACUGCAAGGUCAUGUGUAUUUCAACUCCAUAUAUAUUGCAAGUCUGCAACUUGCAUUUUAGAAAACUCAAAUUUAGAUUGCUCUGUUCCAGGAUUUAAAUCUUCUUGAGUUUUCCAAUCACAAAUAUCUUGCAUGCAUGGAAAGAAAAUUGGAUGUUCUUAAUCACAGAAAGGUGUUUUUUACACGUAGGUGCCUUCUUUAAAUCUAUGCAUUUUGUUGACCAUUCUAUGAUUUUAUAAUUAGAAAAUGGAUGUUAGCUACACUAUUAGAAGGUGAUCCCACUCAGCCAAUAGCAGAUCUGCAUAAAUUAAUUUCUUUAUGCAACAAAUUACUUUUAUGCACAGAUGUAUUUUAGCUUACACUAACCUGACCUUUAUGCUGAUGCUUCUGUUAUUUAUGAAUACCUCCUUUACUCUUGGCCAUGAUGGGAAGAGUUUUAAGACAUCUAAAAGGGUCAGAUUAUUGAUUGUUCUUUUCCUUUGACCCUCCUACAAGAACUUAUGUGCUGGAAUGUUGGGAGUGUUAACUCCACGGGUCUCAAAUCUGAAAAUAUUUACAGGGGCCUUCGUUGCCACGAUCAUUACUGUGUAGAACUUUCUUACUCUAGAGUGGCAUCCAAAUUAUGAAUAAGAAAUGGACAAACGGGUUGUAUACUAUUUGUUUCAUGAGCAGUCAGAAAGCUCAUGCCGGAUGCUGGUGUGCCUGAACAUUUUUGUGUCCUCGAUCGAAAGUGUCUUGCAGUUAGUUUACUUCUAUUGUUUGUUGGCGGCUGUUUUACUUGAAGUGCCUCUAUUAAGUAGAGGCUCAGUGAAUGUACGGUCUGAAAAGCUUGUGCUAUGUCACUGAUUUCUUGGUGCGAUCCAUGGUGGUGCAGGUGCAGAGAAGCGCGGAGGACAGCUCGGUGGUAGAGGCGACAUACGAGGGUGAGCACAACCACCUGCGCCCCAUGGGGGCGGUGAGCCGAGCUGCGCAACGCGUGCGGAGGCUUGGUGUUGUGCUCCAUCUCCAUCAACUCCUCCGGCCCAACCACUAUGCUGGACCUCACCAAGAACCUGGGAGGCGUGCAGGUUGUCGAGGCAGGGGAGGCGCAACCGGACCUGGAUAAGGUGUGCCUGGAGGUCGCGUCGCCAGAGUUCCAGGCGGCUUUGGUGCUCCGAGUCAAACCUCAUCCGCACCGCCUGCUUCUGCUUCGGGCGCGAGCGCCCAGAGAUUGUCAGGUAUCUGUCAAGAUGGGAUAUUCAGGUCACUCUGCGUAGUGGGUGCCUCAUCAUUUACAGGAAAGUUAUUAAUUCUAGGAAGUGAUUGCGUGCUCAUGUAGGACUUGAUGAAGGAGAGGUAUGUCCCAAGUGAACUGGAUUAUUAUGAUGAUUUCGUCGAUUCAUACUCCUAUUUAUCCUGAAAUAAAUGGCUUUCACCUUUGGGCAGUUCAAGUGAUGGAAGAUAUUGUUUCAAUGAUAUUGAAGCUUUUUAGAUACUAUGGCAGUUAAGGUUCAUUUGAAGUCGCGGUUGGAUGCAUGAUUUAUGCAGAAAUGUAUAAGUGCCAUGUAGUGGUUAAUUAGAGGUGUUCUUUGACUAAGAUCAGGCUGCUCCUGCCGUGUCUACCAGUGAAAUGCCUCCUUCCAUGAUAAAGCAGCCUACUCUUAGGUACAGAUCUUGGUGUUGAUUCUGUCUCACCUUUCCAGCCGGAAGUGGUUCGGUUUGCUGCAGGUUUCCUCGGUGUUCAGGAACUGUGCAGAGCCUGAGGAUGAUGUAGGCCGCUGCGCCACCUCUCUUGUCAUCCUGGUCACUGCCUAACUAAUUUCUUUGAUUCAGAGGCUUGUGCCACUACAGGCGUUGCAUGGCAAUCCGCGCUUCUACGAGCAACAACAAAAACAGGGCGAAACAAAGCAAGCACAAAAGAAGAAUUGAGAUGCUACAUACAACCAAUGGUAUCCUUUUAACGCCGCCGCCGGGGGUCCUUCCCCUGAGCCAGGAUCUCUUCUACCCUGCACCGCUGCUGUGAACUCAUCCAUGCUGAUAGUCGGCUCCAUGCUACAACUGCUGCAGCCUGCAGGCAUGGCUUCAUCCGGUUCCAUGACGAGGCCGUCGUGUGCUGAUCGUGAAGACAUGCCGAACAAGUGGAAGAACGCCAAGCUGGACGAGGUGAAGUAAAAAUAUAUGAAAACUCCAUCAUGUUGGUGUGGAGAUGUUUGCAAGGUGAAGGUGUCCACUGACUGCAAGAAGUCAUGGACGGAAGGGAGAGAUUUUUUGUGUGUCCCAACUAUGCACAUGUCGGGCGCUUCCAACAAACGCCUAUGACGUAGCACCGUCACCGCCUCCUCUUUGCAAGUACUUCACAUGGAUAGAUCAAGAUGUUCCAUAGGAUGUCAAAAAGGACCAAUAUCGAGAUUGUCUUAGGAGGCAAUGGCGGUUUGAAGAAGCAUUUCAGAGAGGCUUGGAUGAAGAGCGUCAUCAGAAGGAGAAGAUGGAAAGAAAGAAACGCGAGGAGGAGAGGGCACGCAAAGAGAAGGCUACUAGUGAAGAAGAGAGGGCAAGAAAGCUUGCAAGGGCUCGUGAUGCACAAGAGGAGGAUGAGGCACGUUACAAGAAGGGAAAAGGGCCCAUGUUUCCUUAGUGAUUGAUACGUCUCCAACGUAUCUAUAAUUUUUGAUUUCUCCAUGCUACUUUAUCUAUUGUUUUAGGCAAUAUUGGGCUUUAUUAUC